rnacentral:rRNA from 1 species
GACGAACACCGGCGGCAUGCCUUCCACAUGCACGUCGACCGAGACCUUCGGGUCUAGUGGCUCCCGGCUGCGUAACGCGUGGGAACCUGCCCUUAGGUUCGGACUAACUCCUCGACUGGGGUGCUAAUACCCGUUCAUGUCUUCGCACCAAAGAUUUAUCGCCUUUGGUUGGGCCCGCGUUGUAUUAGCUCGGUGGCAGGGUCAAAGCCUACCAAGGCGACGAUCUAUAGCUGGACUGGGAGGAAGAUCAGCCACGCUGAGAGUGAGACACUGCCCAGACUCCUACGGGAGGCAGCAGUGGAGGAUAUUGGACAAGGGGCGAAAGCCGGAUCCAGCAAUGCCGCGGGAGUUAGGAAGGCCUUAGGGUUGUAAAGCUCUUUUACCCGGGAUGAUAAUGACAGUACCGGGAGAAUAAGCUAGGGCUAGCUCCGUG